rnacentral:rRNA from 1 species
AUUGAACGCUGGCGGAAUGCUUUACACAUGCAAGUCGAACGGUAGAGGGGGCAACCCCUCGAGAGUGGCGAACGGGUGAGUAAUAUAUCGGAACGUGCCCAGUCGUGGGGGAUAACGUAGCGAAAGUUACGCUAAUACCGCAUACGAUCUAAGGAUGAAAGCGGGGGAUCGCAAGACCUCGCGCGAUUGGAGCGGCCGAUAUAAGAUUAGGUAGGUGGUGGGGUAAAGGCUCACCAAGCCAACGAACUGUAGCUGGUCUGAGAGGACGACCAGCCACACGGUAACUGAGACACGGUCCAGACUCCGACGGGAGGCAGCAGUGGGGAAUUUUGGACAAUGGACGCAAGUCUGAUCCAGCCAUUCCGCGUGCAGGAUGAAGGCCCUCGGGUUGUAAACUGCUUUUGUACGGAACGAAAAGGUCUCUCUUAAUACGGGGGACUCAUGACGGUACCGUAAGAAUAAGCACCGGCUAACUACGUGCCAGCCGCCGCCGUAAGAC